UACCCUUGACAUGCCAGGAAGCCUCCAGAGAUGGGGGUGUGCCCGAAAGGGAACCUGGACACAGGUGCUGCAUGGCUGUCGUCAGCUCGUGUCGUGAGAUGUUGGGUUAAGUCCCGCAACGAGCGCAACCCUUGCCAUUAGUUGCUACAUUCAGUUGGGCACUCUAAUGGGACUGCCGGUGACAAACCGGAGGAAGGUGGGGAUGACGUUUCUAGGAGGGUG
rnacentral:misc_RNA from 1 species